CUAUCCCUAUUUUUAUUACUAUAGAGUAAUUACUAUAAGUAAUUACAUAAAGCUUUAUCAUUUCAAGCAACUAUGUUCUCCCACACAUCUCCUGUCUCCCUUGCAAUGUUAUUGAUUACUUUUGCUACGUGCUAAAAGCCCUUCUUUUCUGGCUUUCCCUGUCAGUCUCUGAUCUUAUCCAUUCAGGCAAGCCAUAGUUCCCCUUUAUCCUAAUUGCCCACAAUUGGGCAGACCCCCUACUUGCGAGCAGUUAAAAUCUGCAGCAGGCAGGGGCCACUGGCUGUGCCCCCCUCACCCCCAGCAGGGAUCCGGGGCCUCUGCUGUUCCUCUCCCGCCCCAGGAACCGCCCCCUGCUCGGAGCAUUUUCGCUUUCGGUUUCCAGGGAUUUCCGAGAAACUGGUGUAAAUCCGGGAACUGAGGUGCCAGGGGAUAAAGGGCAGGGGUAGGUCAGGAGGAGUAGGAGUGGGGUAGGGCAGGAGGAAUAUAAGCGUCAGGAGCCCCGCGGUGAUCCCCGCGGAGCCGCUUCGUCCCGACCUUCUUCCCAGACACUCCCUCCUUCUCCUCAGUGGUUCAGGGAGACCAGAAUGGGAUCCCAAACAUCACAACCUGAUCCUGCUGCUGCUCAGAGAGAAGAGUCGGAGUCCCUUCGCUGCUCCAAGGUGAAGGUCCUGGGCCGUGACAUGCCCAGGGAGCCUCGGCAGGGCAGCUCCUGGCAGAGGGUGUCCUUGGUCGCAGCAGCUUCUGUGACCAAAUACUCUGGAGCAGCCCAAGAGCUGGAUGGGAGGUAGGAACUCU